rnacentral:lncRNA from 13 species
UUCGGGUCUAGGCGGGCCUUCUUCCCGAUGUUGACCCGGGUUUGUGCAAAGCGGAAUCUGUCGGGCCUCCCUCUCUUUGUCACCGCUUUCCUCCCCACGUGGAGGUGUCUCCGCCGCCCGAGCUCAGCCUGCCUGCCCCUGGAUUUUUAAGAAGGGGAAACCAAGGACAGAAGCCGCCCCCUAGGACGACGUGCCCGGGCCACCGCGAGGGUCUGAACGGCGGGGACCUCCUGGAGCGCCUUCAGCUCCUCCUGUUUUCUUUCCUUGGGUCCCUGUUACUGUCGCCAGAUGCGCAUCGCUCCCUGUCAUUUGGUCCCUGAGCUUGGGUGUUUGUUUUCAUAUUUCAUCUAAAGAUGCAGACCCCUGCUCAGUCUAGCCAGCCUUCACCCUGAAUCUUGAACUUAAGAUGCUGCAUUUUCCACCCGCCCCCGCCCCUCUAGUAGUUGCAAAUUGACAAGCGGCUUUUCCCAACCAGAUGACAGUUUGGCUGCAAGAAUCCGCAGCCGGUUCUUCCCUCUGUGCAGCCAAGCUCCUUCGCUGUCAUUCCCUGACUGCAGUCCUGGGUCCAGCUUCGCUCAGCAGUGACCAUCCCAGAGAGACCUCCAAGAACUCAGAGGUGCUCCAGGAACCAACAGAGGGAAUUCAACAAACAAUACUUUAUUCACUAAGGAAGGAUGGAACCUAUUUGCCGGGCGUCGUGGUACCUGACUGUAAUUCCAGCUACUCAGGAGGCUGUGCCAGAAUUGCUUGAACCCAGGAGGCAGAGGUUACAGUCAGUGAGCCAAGUUCGCGCCGCUGUGCUCCAGCCUGGGCAACAGAUCGAGACUUCAUCUCAAAAAAAAAAAAAAGGAAGGAUGGAACCCACCUUUGGAGUUGGCCAUAUGCUUGUAUAUGAGAUCACAAAAUCAAAAUCCUUCAGGCUUAUUACCAGUAAAGAUUUUUAAAGACAUGUUUUGGAGGAAAACUAAUUUGGAAGUUUCUAGUUCUACUGCCUUUUCAAUCUUUGUAUCAGUCUAUGCUUAUCUUUUCAUUUCUUGGUACACUACAGUGUUCUCAUUAAGUCACGCUUGAAAUGCAUGCUUAUCCGGUGCUCACAGUUAUCUUUAGGGAGGGUUCGUGGCCAGUAGUCCUCCCCAGCAGGUGAGCUAUAGCCACACCCAGUUGGUCACCACAGAGGCUGGAUCCAGAAAUACCACUGGAGGCCAGGCGUGGUGGCUCACACCUGUAAUCCCAGCACUUUGGGAGGCCAAGGCAGGCAGUUCACCUGAGGCAAGACCAGCCUGGCCAGCAUGGUUACACCUCAUCUCUACUAAAAUUAGCCAGGUGUGGUGGCUCAUGCCUGUAGUCCAGCUUCUCAGGAGGCUGAGGCAUGAGAAUCACUUGAACCUGGGAGGUGGAGGUGGCAAUGAGCUGAGAUCACGCCACUGCACUUCAGCCUGGGUAACAGAGUGAGACUUGGUCUCAAAAAAAACAAGAAACAAACAAACAAAUACCAUUGGAGAGAACUUUUCCAAGUUCUCAAACAGACUGAACUGAUAAAGUGGAGGGUGAGAAAAAACAUUUGAAGCGAGAGUUGCCCUGUCCACCUCAUGGACUUUCUGUAAGCCAGAUCCUGUGGCUUCUAACCACAGGGUGGCCAACCAACCUUGGAGCUGGGAGAAACUAGGAAAACUGAGACAUUCCCUAGGGCAAACAGAUACCAGUUGCUCAAGGUAGAACUAAGGGUCAAAAUGGACCAGGGUCCACUCAAG